rnacentral:rRNA from 1 species
AGAGGUUUUGUUAUAUACUUUAUGGUAAAAAGGCAGUUAAAUAUUUAAUUUUUAAUAAUUUAUUGACUAUCUAUAUAAGGGUAAAAUCUAUAUAUAAAUAAAUAAUCUAACAUAAAUUAAUCUAUGUUGACUCUGCGAAACCCUUGAGGGAAACUGGGAUUAGAUACCCCAUUAUUCUUGGAUGUAAAUUAACGUAAGUUUACCGGAGUACUAUGAAUUUUUAAACAAAUUUAAAACUCAAAGGGCUUGGCGGUGUUUUAGACCUCUCAGGGGAACCUGUCUCAUAAUCGACAAUCCACGUUAUACCUAACCUUUUUUUGCUAUUACAGUUUGUAUACCGUCGUCGCCAGGUAACUUUUAAAAAAUUAGAAGUUAGCAACAAAAUAAUUUUAAAUUUAAACGUCAGAUCAAGGUGCAGCUUAUAUAAAGGUGAGGAUGGGUUACAAUUAAAAUUUAUAAAUACGGAAUGAUAAUUGAAAUAUUUAUCUUAUGAAGGAGGACUUGAAAGUAAAAUAAAUUUAUAUAA